rnacentral:rRNA from 1 species
CCUACGGGUGGCAGCAGUGGGGAAUAUUGGGCAAUGGGCGCAAGCCUGACCCAGCAACGCCGCGUGAAGGAAGAAGGCUUUCGGGUUGUAAACUUCUUUUCUCAGGGACGAAGCAAGUGACGGUACCUGAGGAAUAAGCCACGGCUAACUACGUGCCAGCAGCCGCGGUAAUACGUAGGUGGCAAGCGUUAUACGGAUUUACUGGGUGUAAAGGGCGUGUAGGCGGGACUGCAAGUCAGAUGUGAAAACCACGGGCUCAACCUGGGGCCUGCAUUCGAAACUGUAGGUCUUGAGUACUGGAGAGGCAGACAGAAUUCCUGGUGUAGCGGUGAAAUGCGUAGAUAUCAGGAGGAACACCAGUGGCGAAGGCGGUCUGCUGGACAGCAACUGACGCUGAGGCGCGAAAGCGUGGGGAGCGAACAGGAUUAGAUACCCCUGUAGUC